CAUAGAAAUUACAUUAUUUCUAAAGAAAGAGAUUUAGCUUGUUGAGCAAAUAAUUGAUUUUCAUUGAAUAUUUUUGAUAAACCAAUAAAAUAUACUUCAUAUUUAAAUCAAUAUUUUUAUUGGAAAAUCACUUUUCACAAAUACGAAUAUGCGGUCGAAAACUGAAAGCCAUCAGAAUUCAAGAUGGUUCGGACAAAAACAAGUGCUAGCGCUAAGACUAAAAAAACAAGAGAUGCAAGGUACAGGCGUAAUAAAAGGGAGAGGAUAAUAGGCAUUGGUAUUCAGUGUGAUCGACGGAGAAGAGUAAAAGAAGCUACUGGGAUUGAUAAGGACGAGAAAAUGAUGGAAAUAUUGCCUGCCUAUAAUACUCGAAAGAGCGGUUGGCAGUAUACAGAGAUAGAUAGAUAGAUAGAUAUUGAUCGAUGCAACUACUUCUGAACUAGAGAGCUUCAACAAUCAUCUUUUGAUGUACACUCCAAACCAAAGCGAAAUGCUUUCAGCUAUGCUGUUUAUAGAUGCAGGUGUCAGUUAGCAGCAAUAGAUUAUUCAAAACACUUGAAUCGUCCUGUUUUGUUGGACAAAGAAGGAAAUGAGAGAUAUUUAUAUUAUUGUUUUCGCCCUGUAUGUUGGUUUGUUUGUUUGU